CCAGUUUGUUAUUGGAGGUCACGUGGCCAGUCGCUAGGGACAGAUGCACGUCCUGUACCUCGGAUUGAAGCGUCGCGAGCUGCUGCUAUCGCUAGUUUGAACAAAAUGGCUGCAGAGGCACCACUAACGAAAGCCCGCUGAACGCCGAGAGAAGAAGCAGGGAACACGAGACCAGAACCAUUUGAUGGAAGAAAAGAAAAAGAGAAAGCAAGAAGAAAAGAAAAAGAAGGAAGCUGCUCAGAAAAAGGUCACUGAACAGAAAACCAAAGUGCCAGACUCAGCCAAGCCCGGCCCCACCCCUCCUCCCCCCGCCAACCCCAGUGCCACCCCAUCUGUGCCCCCACCAGCAGCAGUGGCAGUAAUGGCAAGCGCGCCCCCUCCAGUGCCCAGCAGCAGUCCCAGCCCUCGCCCGCCCAACAGCGUUACCCGCCAAGAGAGAUCCCUCCGCGCUUCCGCCAGCAGGAGCACAAGCAGCUGCUGAAGAGGGGUCAGCCGCUGCCCCCUGGGACCCUUCCAACUGUACCAGGACGCCCCGAACCUGACUCGAGUCAGAAAUCCUCUGGUGCAUCGCACACAGGUUAGCACUUUACUUUGAGCUUUUUCCUUUGUGACCUUUUGACCUCUGGGAAUGUUCCACAACCCUGAACUUGACCACAUUUGACUGUCCAACUUAUUUUCUCUGAUUAUGUGUUGUACAUUUUAUUUAGUGGAGCUUUUCCGGGAAUCAUAUCUUAUAUUGAUGAUAUUUCAAGUGUUUUCCCCGUAUUUUGUUUAGUUUGCCACUUUGCAUUCUCCUUUUAGAUAUGUAUAGUGUAUGCCAUUGUUGUUUCCUGGCCUGUUUCCUUGGGUCUGCUGUGUAUCA
ensembl:lncRNA